ACUUCCCUAGUAUAAUAGUACAAGUGACUUCCAAUCACUUAGUUUUAGAUUUACACCCCUAAAGAGAAGUA
rnacentral:tRNA from 1 species